rnacentral:rRNA from 1 species
UACGAAGGGGCUAGCGUUGUUCGGAAUCACUGGGCGUAAAGGGCGCGUAGGCGGCCGAUCAAGUCGGGGGUGAAAGCCUGUGGCUCAACCACAGAAUUGCCUUCGAUACUGGUUGGCUUGAGACCGGAAGAGGUAAGUGGAACUGCGAGUGUAGAGGUGAAAUUCGUAGAUAUUCGCAAGAACACCAGUGGCGAAGGCGGCUUACUGGUCCGGUUCUGACGCUGAGGCGCGAAAGCGUGGGGAGCAAACAGGG